rnacentral:rRNA from 1 species
AUUGAACGCUGGCGGCAGGCUUAACACAUGCAAGUCGAGCGGAGAUGAGGUGCUUGCACCUUAUCUUAGCGGCGGACGGGUGAGUAAUGCUUAGGAAUCUGCCUAUUAGUGGGGGACAACAUUCCGAAAGGAGUGCUAAUACCGCAUACGUUCUACGGGAGAAAGCAGGGGAUCUUCGGACCUUGCGCUAAUAGAUGAGCCUAAGUCGGAUUAGCUAGUUGGUGGGGUAAAGGCCUACCAAGGCGACGAUCUGUAGCGGGUCUGAGAGGAUGAUCCGCCACACUGGGACUGAGACACGGCCCAGACUCCUACGGGAGGCAGCAGUGGGGAAUAUUGGACAAUGGGGGAAACCCCGAUCCAGCCAUGCCGCGUGUGUGAAGAAGGCCUUAUGGUUGUAAAGCACUUUAAGCGAGGAGGAGGCUACUGAGACUAAUACUCUUGGAUAGUGGACGUUACUCGCAGAAUAAGCACCGGCUAACUCUGUGCCAGCAGCCGCCGUAA